AAAGGUGAUUGUAACAAAUUAAAAGACAAGAUGUCUGCUUAUGCCUUCUUUGCACAGAAUUGAAGAGAAGAAUGUAAGAAGAAAAACCCAGAGGACUCUUUUGAUUUUGCAGAAUUUGGUCUGAGAGGUAGAAGAGGAUGUCUGGGAAAGAGAAGUCUAAAUUUGAUGAAAUUGCAAAGGAGAAUAAAGUAUGCUAUGAUUGGGAAAGAUAAGUCUAAAUUUGAUGAAAUUGCAAAGGCAAAUAAAGUAUGCUAUGAUUGGGAAAUGAAGGAUUACAGACCAGCUAAAAGAGGCAAGAAGAAGAACCUUUAUGCCCCUAGAAGACCAACAUCUGGUAUUUCCCAUUCUGUUCAGAAUUUUGUCCCAAGAUUAAAUCCACAAACCUUUGUGUCUCUAUUGGAGAAGUAGCAAAAAAAAAAAAAAAAAAAAAGCUGGGUGAGAUGAGGAAUAACUUAAGUGACAGUGAAGAGCACUCUUACAUCACUAAGGCAGCAAAACUGAAGGAGAAGUAUGAGAAGGAUGUUGCUGACUGUAAGCAUAAAGGAAAGUUUGAUGGCACAAAACAUCCUACUAACAUUGCCUGGAAAAAGGUGGAAGCAGAAGACGAAGAAGAUGAGGAGAAUGAAGAGGAGGAGGCAGUGGAGGAGGA
rnacentral:lncRNA from 1 species